rnacentral:rRNA from 1 species
GAACGCUCGUAGCAAUACGAAGAGUGGCAGACGGGUGAGUAACACGUGGGAACCUUCCCUAUGGUUCGGAAUAGCCCAGGGAAACUUGGGGUAAUACCGGAUAAGCCCUUACGGGGAAAGAUUUAUCGCCAUUGGAUGGGCCCGCGUCGGAUUAGCUAGUUGGUGGGGUAACGGCUCACCAAGGCGACGAUCCGUAGCUGGUCUGAGAGGAUGAUCAGCCACACUGGGACUGAGACACGGCCCAGACUCCUACGGGAGGCAGCAGUGGGGAAUAUUGGACAAUGGGCGCAAGCCUGAUCCAGCCAUGCCGCGUGAGUGACGAAGGCCUUAGGGUUGUAAAGCUCUUUUGGCGGGGAAGAUAAUGACGGUACCCGCAGAAUAAGCUCCGGCUAACUACGUGCCAGCAGCCGCGGUAAU